rnacentral:lncRNA from 1 species
GACCACAUGUUCCCUGUGGUAGGGUCAUAUCACCGACUAUUCUUCUUGCGGUACCAAUGUAUUAGCCCCCAUUGGCAGGGUCCUCAACAUAGCCCGACUGCAAGUCUGAAUCUAUUUCAAGUCAUAAUCUUUUCUUACAUUAUGUUUAGUGUUCCAAGCCAAAAGAUACAAUGUCAGAGCAAUUAAACACAAUUCAAAUCAGAAACAGAUACGUUCAAUCAUAAUCAUAUAAUAUUCUAAAAUACACAUAUAAUCCAUGCAUCAAAUUCGAAAUCAUGAAUAAUUCGAUUCGUGAAACAUAUAUAUAGUUUGCCGAUAAAUCUAGAAAAGAGGUUACAUCACUUACCUUGCGAACGCGAUCCACAACAAAUUCAAUUAAUUCCGUAAAUCCCUCACAGCACCUAAUAUUCAAAAACCAUAAUUUUCUUUUAAAAUUCAUCACAAUACAUAUAUAACCUAAAUUUAACAUUCUCUCAGGGCCGACCCUACCGAAGUGUUUAGCACCCCAGGUUCGGGUUCGGAUCCGGAUUCAUACCCGUAA